rnacentral:misc_RNA from 1 species
GACGAUGGCAACCAAGAGUUGCUAUGGCAAGAAAUGUUUAACACUCUAUGCACUAUUAAUGGUCUAAUGUUGCUAGUUGGGGAUUUUAAUCAAAUUUUUUAUACUUCCGGUUAGAGCAGUGGUCGAUUCUCUUCUCUUGGCAUAGAUAAUUUUAGAAAUUUCAUUAAUAAUCUCAAUCUUGCUCAAUAGAUAGAGCUUUGCUAUCUCACCACAAGUGAGACUCCUUCCCAAAUCUGAAUCUUAGAGGCUGAAUCUUAGAGGUAUUAUAAGAGGCCCAUCAGGCAACAAUCCAAUCACCAUCCUUAGUAAACAGAAGAUUAUGGCUUAAAACCAUUGUGGUUUCUUGAUGCCUGGUGAACCUAGCAAGGGUUUUCUAAUAUGGUUAAGUGUGUGUGGGAUGAGAUUUCAAUUGUGGUGCCUUCACCUUCUCUGCCCCAAAAAAUUAAAUUGCUCAAGGUCAAAGUUAAGGAGUGAAACUUAAGGGAAUUCGGGCAUGUUGAUUCUUAUCUUAAGGAAGUGAAUGAUUCGCUUGAUCAGUGUGAGAACAUUGUGGUAUUUAGGCAUCCAUUAGAGUAGGAAUCUUCUUUUAUUCCUCAGCUUGGAUCUAAUCUUCACUAUUUUAGUUGCAGGUUGUUAUUUGAUGGCUUUUUAUCUACAACAUUGCACUGACAACACUUGUUUGGGCUGAUUAUGGGUUUUUUUUUUUCAUGGUGUUUUGUUUGUGCUACUAUUUCAUGUUUCGAUUUGUUUUGUCUCUUAGAGGCCUAUUGGUUUUUUUUAGUUCAAAUGGUGUAGUGUGGUCCUUGGUGUUUAGUUUAAGAUCUUGGUUGUAUUUUAUUUGUUUUAGGUUUUUUCCUCUUAGCAUGAUACAUCCUAGGUUCAGGUGUAUUUGGAUGGUUUGCAAGUCAGGGUUAGUUUGAAUGUUUCCAUGCUAAGUUUUCCUGAAUUUUUAAUUUCUUUAAUAAAAUUUAGCUUAUAAAAAAAGGUAGAUUUUUUUAAAUAGAUGUAAAGUAGAAAUUUUUUUUUCAACUAGAC